rnacentral:lncRNA from 10 species
UAGUAUUCCCAGCCCCUAGAACAGAGCAGCGCAUAUCACAGGGGCUCAGUAAACAUCUGGGGAGGAGUGCCAUUCCCAGGAGGCCUCAGACCCCGUCACCUGAGAUGAGAGCUGGAUCCCGGAGAAGCUCAGGUCUGACCCAGCAUUCAUUGCUGUAGGAAGGGCUCGUCUAGACUCCAAGGGAGCCGGGUGCGGUGGCUCACGCCUGAAAUCCCAGCACUUCGGAAGGCCGAGGCGGGCGGAUCACCAGGUCAGGAGAUCCAGACCAUCCUGGCUAACACGGUGAAACCCCGUCUCUACUAAAAAUACAAAAAAUUAGCCGGGCGUGGUGG